GGAAUAUUGGACAAUGGGCGAAAGCCUGAUCCAGCCAUGCCGCGUGUGUGAAGAAGGUCUUCGGAUUGUAAAGCACUUUAAGUCGGGAGGAAGGGCUGUAGGCGAAUACCCUGCAGUCUUGACGUUACCGACAGAAUAAGCACCGGCUAACUUCGUGCCAGCAGCCGCGGUAAUACGAAGGGUGCAAGCGUUAAUCGGAAUUACUGGGCGUAAAGCGCGCGUAGGUGGUUCAGUAAGUUGGAUGUGAAAUCCCCGGGCUCAACCUGGGAACUGCAUCCAAAACUGCUGAACUAGAGUACGGUAGAGGGUGGUGGAAUUUCCUGUGUAGCGGUGAAAUGCGUAGAUAUAGGAAGGAACACCAGUGGCGAAGGCGACCACCUGGACUGAUACUGACACUGAGGUGCGAAAGCGUGGGGAGCA
rnacentral:rRNA from 1 species